AACUCUGGCCUGGGAAUCCGAAAACCUGUGUAGGGCCCUGCCCUGCCCUAGCCGUGUCUUCCCAUGUGCCACGUGGUCUGUGAAAGUGCAUCUCCCUCUUUGGCCCCAGAUUCCCUAUGGAAAAGAGAAGAGAGGACGGCACUGUGGGUUGAAAUACAGGUAGCCGCCAGGCUGCUGUGUAAAUGUGUGAAGUGUGGGCGCAUGGGGCUUCAGUGGACCAGAGGCUGCCCCACCCCAUCUCACGAGGGCAGCUGCUGCUCAGCUCUGCCAACCAUGGCCCUGUGGGAAGGUGGGCCUAGAGUUGCUUGAUCUGGUUUUUCAGUAGAAGCCAGGAAAGGGGUUGUUAUAUUAAAUCUCCCAAUUUAAAAAUGUUGGCUCCUAACUAAAACAGACUGUAGCAGCACUCUGCAGUGGAGCUUUCCGCGAUGUGUACCCCGUGUCAUGUAUCUCCACUGUCCGGUAGAGCAGCCAGUGGCCUCAUGGGGCCAUUGAGUACUUGAGAUGUGGCAAGGGUAACUGAGGGAUGAGAUUUUUAAUUUUGUUUCAUUUUAAUUAAAUAGCCGCGUGUGACUACUGGCUCCUGCAAUGGACAGCACAUUUGGGUAUUAUCUAGGAGUGUUGAGUUCCAGACUGGUUGUUAUUGGCCGCGCAGCAGCGCAGCAUAUGGGAUCUUAGUUCCCUGACCAGGGAUCAAAGCCUGCUGCAGUGGAAACACGGAGUCUUAACCACUGGACCGCCAGAGAAGUCCCUCCAGACUUUUAUAAACCCAAAUCCAAGUUCGGAUCCAAGCUCUAUGCCAUGUCCUGACUUGUGUGAUCACAAGCAAAUGAGCAAGUUACUUCCCUUCUCGGUGCCUCAGUUUCCACGUCUGUGAAAUAAUAGUCCCUACCUCAUAGGCUAGGCUUGAAGGCUCAGUGAGGUCCCCCAGGUAGGCACUCAGAUGGUAGCUGUAUGCACCUUGGGAGCACCUUUCUGCCUCCCUUGCCUCAUCUCUAAAAUGGGGGCGAUGAUAAUACCCAUUGUAAUAGAGUGGCUGCGAGGAGUAAAUGGGACAGCUCAUGCGCAGGCUGCAUGUAUAUUCAGUGGGGCUUAUUGUUACCAGGCCAUGCUGGUUCUUCCCAGACUGAAAUGUCCUGUACCAUUUUGGCAGUUGCCUGCCCCCCGGCUGUCUCAGCCUCUCCUGCUCUAGCCAGCAUUUAGUGCUUGUACCAGUUAGAUACUUUUAAAAACCCUUCCCUGGUAUUUGUGAAAAGAAUUAAAAUGUAUUUGAAACUGUGUGGGCCAGAUUGAACUUGAACUCUAGAUUUUUAAGCAAGGCUCACAGAGGUCUACAAAUAAGUAACAUUUGCAGCCCUCCACCCCCACCCUGAGGUGUACCAUUUGUAAUCCAGGAGAGAGUUUCCUCGAUAUCCUCAGGAUUCCCUAGCUUGAGAGCAUCUGCAGGAUUGAGGGAGGGCCUGUGUUUCCUUUGCAGGUGGCUUUGAGUGUUGGAAACUCCUAACUGAAAGCAAGGUAUUUGGGGAACAUGAUCCUGGGGAGAGGGUUUGUGGACGGAGGGAGCCACUGCAAGUGAGUGCUCGCCAACCACAGGGGGUGACCCAUGGGACCUUCUGAGAAGCUUUUGAAAUGUGACUCAGAUCUGUCCAUCCACGGGGCAUGAAAGGAGGAAGUACGUUUGUCCAUUGGCCCGUGGCCCUGGGGGUUAAGGUUAGCACUCUGGGUGGCACAUGCUUCAGUGUCCAGUGGGUUCCUCCAAGGCCUCUCCCCGACAUUGAUGCUGGUUCAGGGAUGGUGCUGUCUGUCAGGUCACACCUGCUUAAAGCUGGAUGGGAGAAGGUUUGACUUGUGCCAGGUGGCCUCUGAGACGCUGCUUACGUGACAUGGCGUAGGAUGUUUAUAUCAAAUGCUCGGUGCUAGGGCUGCAUUAGGGCGUCAUCCAGUGGGCAGGAUUGGGCCAGUGUUGAGGCAUAUCCCAGCAGGGGCUGAAUUCCCAGGUUGCACGCCACUUGCAAGCCCUGUGACCCUGGGCAAGGUCUCAAGCAUCUCAGUUUACUCAUUCAUAAGAGGUUAAUAAUAGUACUUCUCAUUUGCUUACUCAACAAAUAUAUCCUAAGUACUGACUGCCAGCCCUCAUUUUAGGCACAAGGGUGUACUGGUGAACAAACUAGAGGAAAAGCUCUAGAAAAAAAGGAGCUGAUGUUCUCAUGGAGGAGACAGAAAGUGGUCAGAUAUUUCUUGGGGUAAAAUAAAUGCAUACAGGAAAGCAUGGGAAGGAGAUAGAGUGGUUUGGGAACAGGAGUGCUGUUUUAGAUUGAAUGGGACAGUCAGAGAAGGCCUCUUGAGAGGGUGUAUUUGAGCAGAGACCAGAAUGAAAUGAGACAAACCAUGGGGAUAUCUGGGUGUGCCAGGCAUGGUCACCCCAGGGCCUUUGCACUUUCUAUGCCCUCUGCCAGGAAUGUUUUUUCCCCAGGAUCCAUAUAGCUCACUCCCUCCCCUCCUUCAGGUCUUUGCAGAUGUCACCUCAGCAUAGCCUUCUGUGGGCUCUAAGGUGGGCACAUAAGGAAAAGUCCUAGAUAGCCAAAAAGAUGCUUGGAAAUCCCUUAAAGUACACGUACAGACUUGAGAGAAUUCACAUGAAACACUAUCGUGCCUGGCAGAGACCCUCAAUAAACGCUGGCUAUUUUUACAAUCUUUAAAAAUUUUGAGCUAUCUCAGACGUGGAAAUUGUUACCUCCCCAGUUAUUAUCCACGGCAGGAAUUUGCCUUCUCCCACAGCUUCUAAUAACUGUCCAGAUCUCAUUUGAAUAGUUCCUGUAAUGGGAGGCUCACUCCUUUACCUACCCCAGUACAGGCCCUAAUUUGCCUCCCAUUAACUGGGGUCCACAAGGUCUGGCUCUGUGCUUUGGGGCCACAGAACCUGUUUGAGUAGGGGGAUGUGGAGGGAGGGCCUUAAAUGUCAACCUUAGAAUUUCAGAAGCUGGGAGGCACUGGGGAGCCAUGGAAGAGUCUAUGUAGGAGAGGGACAUGGUCAGAUUUGUGCUUAGAAAGACCUCAUAGGCCAGAGUGGUUGGGGCUGGGAUAGAGGAGUCCCCAGGGGCUGUGGGAACUCAGAAGAGGUGCCUGACCCCCUUGGGGGGUGUUAGGGAAGGCCUCCUAUAGGAGGUGAAGUCUGGUAACAAUUUAAAAAGAAGGAAGUGGAAAGAAUAUAUCAAGUAGAAGAAAAACCUGUGCAAAGGAACCUGGGAUGUUCUGCACAAUUGACCAUGGCCCUCCCCUGUUCAAAACCCUUCCAUGACUCCCGUCCUCAGGAUUAUGACAAAACUGUUUAGAUUGAGUUCUUUCAUUCAUUAAAAAUGACUGAGCACUUACUGUAUGCCUGGCUCUACUGGGCUGUGCUUUAUUGAGCACCUUCUCCAAAAGAAAAAUAUGUACGUAUAUAAUUGAACCUGUAUCUCCCCCUAUAAUUAUUAGCUUCUAAGUGUUAAAUUUUUUUCUUCUGGAAAAAAAAAAUUUACUCCAUCUAAAGGGCUUUGCUCAGCACCUGGCAGAGUAAAUGAUUGGGACCGGAGGGCUGGAACAUCUGCUCUAACUGGCUUUCCUUGCGGUGGUCCUGGAAUACUAAGGAGCUUCUGGAGGGCGCCGGGUGCCCCCCGCCCCCCAUUCAUCCUGGAGUGAGGGAGCGGGCCCCUGAUCUGUGAGGACCGAAUUUCCUGCCCAUUUGCUGCUCACACCUUCCGGAGGCCAAACGGGCAGCCCAGCUGCGGCCCAAAGGGGGAGGGGCGCGGCCGCCCAGCAGAUGGCAGCAUUUACAUACAGCUGGGAGCCCCCUCUGAGGCGGGGGCUGCUCGCCCUAGCGUCUGGUGCAUCCGUGAUGCGGGUUUGGGGAGGGUGGCUUUGUUUUGGGGAGGGGAAACACACUCGAGCAUGCGCGCGUGCUCACACACACACACACACACACACACACACACACACACACACACACACACGGGUCCACAAAGAACACUGGAUCUUCAUCGUAUCCACACAGGGCUACACUCAUGGACCUCCCACACCCAGCCUCCUUCACACACAAACCCUCAGCCAUUCACAACCUUGCACAGACCUUACCACACACACAAACACACACAGCCACCUAGAGGCACCUGCACAGACCACAAAGUCACAGGUUCCUGUGACUACACACAGUGGCCCAGGAGCUAACACAUUUUUGUACACCUGAACAGAGAAGCAUCUACACAGCCACAGAAUCUCAAAAGUCACACAACCAUGAAAUCAUGUACAUCUCCAUUCUCCCAUGCAGGUGUGUGUGUGCGUGUAUACAUACACACACACGCACACACACACAGAAUCUUAGAAUUAUUUACAGCCUCACAAAGAGGCUUAACCAUAUACAAUUUCAAGCACACGUGGAGCCACACAAUCUGACCUAGACACACAAUCACAGUCAUGUACACCCUCCAGUAGCUCUGGCUCACACACCACACACAGAGUUUUAAAAUCAUAUCCAACCUCACACACAAGCUUAACCCCCCCCACCCCACCCUAUCCUCAGCCACACAAAUCAUGCCCACAACCGCAUAUAAGAUGUACACUCACUGCAUUGCCUGUGGCCACGACACAGUCUCACGGCUGCUCCAGCACGCUCUCCUUCCCCUGCGACCUCCUCCCCUAGGGUCCCCUGGAGCCGGCGGCUGCCCGAAGGGGCGGAGCUGUCCUCUCAGAUAUAAGGCUCCGGAGCCAGCAGCUGCAGCUCCCAAGACCUCCGGAAGGCCAUGGUCUCCCCGCAGAUGCCCCAGCUCCUCUCCCCGACGUCCCCUCACCCUGUACCCCUUUCCGCCCCAGACACGGCCGGCCGGCGUCUUCGAGCUGCAGAUCCACUCUUUUGGGCCGGGACCAGGCCCGGGCGCCCCGCGGUCCCCCUGCAAGGCCGGGGACACCUGCCGCCUCUUCUUCAGGGUUUGCCUGAAGCCAGGGAUCUCCGAGGAGGCCGCCGAGUCUCCGUGCACCCUGGGCGCGGCGCUGAGUGCGCGCGGACCGGUCUACACUGCGCAGCCCGGAGCGCCAGCGCCUGACUUGCCGCUGCCAGACGGCCUCAUGCGCGUGCCCUUCCGGGACGCCUGGCCGGGCACCUUCUCUCUCAUCAUUGAAACCUGGAGAGAGGAGUUAGGAGAACAGAUUGGAGGGCCCGCUUGGAGCCUGCUGGCGCGCGUGGCGGGCCGGCGUCGCCUGUCGGCCGGGAGCCCGUGGGCCUGGGACGUGCAGCGCGCAGGCGCCUGGGAGCUGCGCUUCUCCUACCGCGCGCGCUGCGAGCCGCCGGCCGUUGGGGCCGCGUGCGCGCGCCUCUGCCGCUCGCGCGGCGCCCCCUCGCGGUGUGGCCCGGAACUGCGCCCCUGCCCGCAGAUUGAGGACAAAUGCGAGGCACCGCCAGCAUGUCGAGCAGGCUGCAGCCCAGAGCACGGCUUCUGUGAGCAGCCCGAUGAAUGUCGAUGCCUGGAGGGCUGGACUGGGCCCCUCUGCACAAUCCCUGUCUCCACCAGCAGCUGCCUCAGCCCCAGGGGCCCAUCCUCUGCUACCACUGGAUGCCUCGUACCCGGGCCUGGGCCCUGUGAUGGGAAUCCGUGUGCCAACGGAGGCAGCUGUAGUGAGACCCCGGGGUCCUUCGAAUGCACCUGUCCCCGUGGGUUCUACGGGUUGCGGUGUGAGGUGAGCGGGGUGACAUGUGCGGAUGGACCUUGCUUCAACGGCGGCUUGUGUGUGGGAGGUGCGGACCCCGACUCUGCCUACAUCUGCCGUUGCCCGCCCGGUUUCCAAGGCUCCAAUUGUGAGAAGAGGGUAGACCGGUGCAGCCUGCAGCCAUGCCGGAAUGGCGGGCUCUGCCUGGAUCUGGGCCACGCCCUGCGCUGCCGCUGCCGCGCGGGCUUCGCGGGGCCACGCUGCGAACACGACCUGGAUGACUGCGCCAGCCGCGCCUGCGCCAAUGGCGGCACCUGCCUGGAGGGCGGCGGCGCGCGCCGCUGCUCCUGCGCGCUGGGCUUCGGUGGCCGCGACUGCCGCGAGCGCGCCGACCCAUGCGCCGCGCGCCCCUGCGCCCACGGCGGGCGCUGCUACGCGCAUUUCUCCGGUCUCGUCUGCGCCUGCGCGCCCGGCUACAUGGGCGCGCGGUGCGAGUUCCCGGUUCACCCCGACGGCGCAGGCGCGUUGCCCGUGGCUCCGCCGGGUCUGAGGUCGGGGGACCCGCAGCGUUUCCUUUUGCCACCGGCUUUGGGACUGCUGGUGGCCGCGGGCUUGGCCGGCUCUGCGCUCUUGCUGGUCCACGUGCGACGCCGUGGCCCUGGCCGGGAUACUGGAUCUCGCUUGCUGGCGGGGACACCGGAGCCAUCGGUCCACGCGCUCCCUGAUGCACUCAACAACAUGAGGACGCGGGAAGGUGCCGGGGAUGGCCCGAGGUGAGGGGCUUGGCCGCAGACCCCGUCCUCAGAUUGGAAUCGCCCUGAAGAUGGAGACGCUCGUUCGGUUUACGUCAUAUCUGCUCCUUGUAUCUAUGCUCGGGAGGCCUGAGCUGCCCCUUCUCCAUCAGCACCUGGGGACAGAACAUGGAUAUUUUUGUAUUCUCUGCUUCAGACACUUUGGAGUUCAAGCUGGAAGAGGUGAAGGGGAGGGUUUUACCAUUGGACGUUGUACAUAAUGGUUAUUUAUAUCCUAUCUUUUUCUUUCCCCAUCUCUCCAGAGACAUCUAUAAAGGCUCUUAGUUUGAUCA